GUAUUAAAUUAGUUGAUUUAAGCCACCAGCUGAAGGGGUGUAAUUUCUAAAGAAAAUUUAUAUUAAAGUAAUCAAUAUGGCUACGUUUUCUCAGUCAACUGUGGGUAAAGGCUCUGAUUCAUUUACAGACUUUUGUUGUUCACCGUGUCAAGAGCACAAAGUUGACCAGUGGGCCGAGUUUUACUGUGAUAACUGUCUUAAAUUUUAUUGUGCAAAAUGUAUAAACCUUCAUGGUCAGUUGUUUGGAAAACAUGUGACGUAUGGAAGGGGAGACACGAGUAAGUGGCCGGUGUCCAAGGAAGUGGAGGAUUUUAUUCAGAAAUGUGACCUUCAUGAAGACAAACGGCUAAAGAUGUUUUGUAAUGACCACAGUCAGCUGUGCUGCACUAAUUGUGCUUUCGUCAAUCACAGACAAUGUGCUAAGGUAGCGCUGAUAUCUGAGUCAGUUAAAGGACCUCUGCCAGACUUGCAGCAAAUAUCAAGAAAGAUUCAAACUGUUCUUGAAGAUCUUGAUGAACUUCAGAAUUAUUGGGACACCAAUAUGCAGUCUUUGCAGAUUUCAUUCGACAAACAGGUACAUGAAAUUAGGGACACACGCCAGAAAAUAAAUACAAUUUUAGACAAGAUUGAACAAAAUACCAUAAAAGAGCUAGAAGAUAAGAUGACAAGUCUGAGAGCUUCUGUCAAGACUAAUGUGGACAAUUGCAGCAAGCUUCAAAAUAAACUAAAACGACUCAGUGAUACAAUGCAUGAAAUUGUUGAUAAGGGUAAAGCAGAACUCUCGUUUAUUGCAAGUAAGAAAUGUCUGGAAAAAAUUAAGCAGUCUGAAGCUUAUCUGAUAGAGAACUUAGUUCAGGUAGAAAGUUCACUGACAUUCCAGGCUGACAGUGAUUUUCAACAGCACUUGUCUAAAUUGUCAGGUCUGGGGAGGAUUGUGGUAUGUACUCAGGCUGUACCUCUGCCUGGUGUCCCAAACAAGGUAUUGACUGUGCAAGGAAAGUCAGCGUAUAAUGUGAACAUACCAAGUGAUGCAAAGAAGAGAUUAUAUAUAAGUGGCAUCUGUGUUCUCUUAAAUGAUCAAAUCCUUGUUGCAGAUCAGCAUAAUAAUAGAGUUAAGCUACUAGAUCAUCAAUACUAGGUAGUGGGACAUUGUGAUUUAAAUGCUUGUCCAAUGGACAUGUGUCUUAUCACACCAAGUGAAGUAGCUGUUUCUAUGAUUCGCAAUAAGACACAUGAGGUUCAGUUUGUCUCGGUGAAUGAUGGGAAGCUGGUUAAGGGCAGGAAGUUACAGUUUCAACAUCCAUGUAAAGGUAUUGCUCACAAUCAGCAAGACCUGUAUAUCACCUCUGGUACUGCACUUUACAAGUAUUCAAUGAGUGGAGACCUGCUAAAUAAGCUGUAUGAGGAUACAUCAGACGAUUUCACAGUAGAUAUGUGUGCAGUGAGUCCGUCAGGUGACAAGAUAUUUGUCACAAACUUUAUACACGACAAGGUCAUCACCCUAGCCAGAGAUGGUACAGUCAUCUGCACCUUCACAGACCCAGACUUAGAAUUUCCGCGUGGUAUACAUGUGACAGCUAAGGGACAGGUGCUGGUCUGUGGUUAUUUGUCGGACACUAUCCUACAGCUGGAUGGUGAAGGCAAGAAGAAGCUGACAACUCUUGUUACCAGCAAGGAUGGACUGUGUAAGCCAGUGUCAGUCUUCUACAAUAGGAGCUCAUCAUCCAUCAUUGUGGGUCAACAUUAUAAUGCAAACAUCCUUGUGUUUAAAGUAAAAUAGUUUUGUUUUACAAGAUUCAGUACAAACUUUUGGAACAUGCACUUUCAACACAAAUGCUUGGCAACACCGAACUUGUAUUGAGUGUUAAGUUUCAUCUCUUUAUUCACCUGGAUGAUUUAUUGUGUUGACAAAUACUGUAAGAUCAUGAACAUGUUUAAAAUGUAUUUUCAUUAAAAAAAUCAUGGCAUCAAAGAUAUUUUAUUAGGCGUAUGUUUAAUUGUAUAGUUCUCCCUGGGUGAUUUAUUAUGUUGUCACACACUUUGAAAGCAAGCUACCAUCUGUUCCACGGAAUCAACUGAAUCGCUUUUAUGAUUAUUUUGCAUUUGAAUUGUAUAUAAUCCGUGUAUUUUUAUGAUCUUGAUCUAUAUCUUGGAAAUGAGGAAUAUAUAUAUAUGUGACUUACUUGUUGUCAUUUGUGACAAUAUGUUUGUGUGAUUGUUAUGCAAAGUAAAAUGAACAACAGGAUGCAAAUGAGGAGAGAAGGUUUUACAUUUUCAUUUUAUUCUCUGUCAGCAUUUGUUCUGUUUUAAGAAAAGUUUUGUUUCAUAGAGUUACAAUUGAUGUUUUGUACAGAUUUCUUCCAUUGUUGUUUUAAGAUUUUAUUUUUGUUGAUGACAAUUAUACAUGUAUUUAAUGUCAAACGUGUUAGUGCCGUUACCUUUCACUCUAUCGCCUGUUUAGCGCAACACUCUUCCAAAUCAAUUUCACAAAAGUUUUCAGGAAGAAGAAAAACUUUGGUAUUAUGUUGCUUCUUUAGAUAUGCCAUAUGUUUUUUCUUAAAUUAAUUUAAUUUUGAAAUACUGUUUUAAGUAUAUCUUAACUACAACAUAUGAUAAAUUGGUAAAGAGAUAUUAAGCAUUAUUGAAGUUAGAACAGUUUCCCCACUAAAACAGAGUUUAUUUGCUUUUUUAUUUGGGAGAACACUGUUUAAACUCAAGUUAGAACAGUAUACCACCUAAGAAUUAUUGUUUUUUGCUCAUAUUAAAUGUGUGCAACACUGCACCAAGUGAAUUUAUGAUUCACACUUAUUUAGUUAUGGUUGUUUAAAACAAUAAUUAUUGAAGACAUAACAAUUUUAUAAAAACUUUAUCAAAUGUCUUUUACACAAAACUCAACAUUAUAUAUUGACCCUGUGUUUGUUAAUCGUGCAAUUAUUAUGUUGCUUAAAGAAGUUCAAUUCAAUUUCACAUUUACCUUGUUUUUAUUUAGGGGUGGAAAGUGGCAUGGGUUACCAAAAUCAGAAAUUGAAUUUUCACAUUUACAUUAAGUUGAAUAUUGCAUAGCGGAAAAACUACUUUGUGCAUAAGAGACACUCUUUUUUGUAUUGAAGUACAAAAUGUGCAAUAAGUAGUGUAACACAUACAUACAUUUAUAUAUUACAAUUGCUGCUAUCUUAUUUUAAAUGAAUUGCCAGACCCGUUUGACUUGUUCAUAUUGUCAAAACUCUUAAACAAGCUACGCAUAAACAAAACGAUUAGAUAAGCAUUAAUUUAUAUAUAUCAAAGCAGGCAAAAUUUAUAAUAAAAAAAGACUGAAUGUGUGAUGUAUAUUGUUUGUGUGGCAGUGUUUUCGAAAGUUUAAAAUGGAAAGUUUCAUCACCAAUUAACUGUCAAUGUUUACUAAUGUAAGAUUUUAUUUGAUUAUUACUUACAUCUGACACCAAUCUGUUUAUUCUAUAUCCAAAUCUUACAUGUGACAGCGUAUGAUAUGGUCAAUUCAAAUUACUUGUAGUAUUUGAUGAAACACUGUCUUUAAGUUUAAUAAAAAUAUUUUAUAAAUGGAGAA